rnacentral:rRNA from 1 species
UACGGGGGGGGCAAGCGUUGUUCGGAAUUACUGGGCGUAAAGGGCUCGUAGGCGGCCAACUAAGUCGGACGUGAAAUCCCUCGGCUCAACCGGGGAACUGCGUCCGAUACUGGAUGGCUUGAGUUUGGGAGAGGGACGCGGAAUUCCAGGUGUAGCGGUGAAAUGCGUAGAUAUCUGGAGGAACACCGGUGGCGAAGGCGGCGUCCUGGACCAACACUGACACUGAGGAGCGAAAGCCAGGGGAGCAAACGGG